rnacentral:rRNA from 1 species
GGAAUAUUGGUCAAUGGGCGAGAGCCUGAACCAGCCAAGUAGCGUGCAGGAUGACGGCCCUAUGGGUUGUAAACUGCUUUUAUAAGGGAAUAAAGUGAGCCUCGUGAGGCUUUUUGCAUGUACCUUAUGAAUAAGGACCGGCUAAUUCCGUGCCAGCAGCCGCGGAAUAUUGGUCAAUGGGCGAGAGCCUGAACCAGCCAAGUAGCGUGCAGGAUGACGGCCCUAUGGGUUGUAAACUGCUUUUAUAAGGGAAUAAAGUGAG